UACAGAGGGUGCAAGCGUUAAUCGGAAUUACUGGGCGUAAAGCGCACGUAGGUGGUUUGAUAAGUUGGGUGAGAAAUCCCCGAGCUUAACUUGGGAAUUGCAUUCAAGACUGUCUUACUAGAGUGUGGAAGAGGGAAGCGGAAUUCCAGGUGUAGCGGUGAAAUGCGUAGAUAUCUGGAGGAACAUCAGUGGCGAAGGCGGCUUCCUGGUCCAACACUGACACUGAGGUGCGAAAGCGUGGGGAGCAAACAGG
rnacentral:rRNA from 1 species